AACGAACGCUGGCGGCAGGCUUAACACAUGCAAGUCGAACGCCCCGCAAGGGGAGUGGCAGACGGGUGAGUAACGCGUGGGAAUCUACCGUACCCUACGGAACAACAGUUGGAAACGACUGCUAAUACCGUAUACGCCCUACGGGGGAAAGAUUCAUCGGGGUAUGAUGAGCCUGCGUUGGAUUAGCUAGGUGGUGGGGUAAAGGCCUACCAAGGCGACGAUCCAUAGCUGGUCUGAGAGGAUGAUCAGCCACAUUGGGACUGAGACACGGCCCAAACUCCUACGGGAGGCAGCAGUGGGGAAUAUUGGACAAUGGGCGCAAGCCUGAUCCAGCCAUGCCGCGUGAGUGAUGAAGGUCUUAGGAUUGUAAAGCUCUUUCACCGAUGAAGAUAAUGACGGUAGUCGGAGAAGAAGCCCCGGCUAACUUCGUGCCAGCAGCCGCCGUAA
rnacentral:rRNA from 1 species